UGAGGAAUAUUGGUCAAUGGGCGAAAGCCUGAACCAGCCAUGCCGCGUGCAGGAAGACGGUCCUAUGGAUUGUAAACUGCUUUUAUUUGGGAAUAAACCUCUGGUCGUGACCGGAGCUGAAGGUACCAAAUGAAUAAGCACCGGCUAACUCCGUG
rnacentral:rRNA from 2 species